rnacentral:rRNA from 1 species
UACGUAGGGUGCAAGCGUUAAUCGGAAUUACUGGGCGUAAAGCGUGCGCAGGCGGUUUUGUAAGUCUGUCGUGAAAUCCCCGGGCUCAACCUGGGAAUUGCGAUGGAGACUGCAAGGCUAGAAUCUGGCAGAGGGGGGUAGAAUUCCACGUGUAGCAGUGAAAUGCGUAGAGAUGUGGAGGAAGACCGGUGGCGAAGGCAGCCUCCUGGGCCAACACUGACGCUCAUGCACGAAAGCGUGGGGAGCAAACAGG